rnacentral:rRNA from 1 species
UACGGAGGGUGCAAGCGUUAUCCGGAUUUACUGGGUUUAAAGGGUGUGUAGGCGGACUUUUAAGUCAGCGGUGAAAGCCCCGGGCUCAACCUGGGAACUGCAUUGGAAACUAACGGGCUCGAGUGUGGCAGAGGGGGGUGGAAUUCCACGUGUAGCAGUGAAAUGCGUAGAGAUGUGGAGGAACACCGAUGGCGAAGGCAGCCCCUACGGCGUAACACUGACGCUCAGGCACGAAAGCGUGGGGAGCAAACAGG